CUACGGGUCGCAGCAGUGAGGAAUAUUGCGCAAUGGGGGAAACCCUGACGCAGCGACGCCGCGUGGAUGAUGAAGGCCUUAGGGUCGUAAAAUCCUGUCAGGUGGGAAGAAGUGGAUAUAGAUUAAUACUCUAUUUCUUUGACGGUACCACCAAAGGAAGCACCGGCUAACUCCGUGCCAGCAGCCGCGGUAAUACGGAGGGUGCAAACGUUGUUCGGAAUUACUGGGCGUAAAGCGCGCGUAGGCGGUUUGUUAAGUCAGAUGUGAAAGUCCAUGGCACAACUAUGGAAGUGCAUUUGAGCUGUCAGACUUGAGUACUGGAGGGGGUGAUGGAAUUCCCGGUGUAGAGGUGAAAUUCGUAGAUAUCGGGAGGAAUACCGGUGGCGAAGGCGAUCACCUGGCCAGAUACUGACGCUGAGGUGCGAAAGCGUGGGGAGCAAACAGGAUUAGAUACCCGAGUAGUC
rnacentral:rRNA from 1 species